GUCAAGAAAGACAAAGUCCUGGCUAUCUCAGAAAGAUCUGGCUCCGUUUCUUUCCCUCCCCGGCCCCCGCUCAGGGCAUGCUUGGACUUGAAGCUUGAGCAUAUACAAUAGACACACCAGAGAAGCUUGGGAUGGUAGCUCCCAGUUGUUUCCGGUAACGCUGGUCCAGUUUGGGUGCUCCCUGAACCUUUUCAUCGGCGUGGCAGAUUUCCCCAGCAUCAUGGAGAGCCCUUGGUGCUGAUGCAAGAGCGACCGGGCAAAGAGCCUAUGCCAAGUUGAGACUGGAUCACUUGGUCUAAGGAUCCUAUAAACGCUUCAGACAAGCGCUCACACACAGAAAUCCAUACAGGGCACAAUGAAGAAGAUAAUCAGGGAUCAAGAUGGCAGAGGAGGAAGAUCCUAAGCUGACCUCCCACGGACACACCAAAACUACAACUACCUAUAGAACAGCUAUCUCUGCGAAUGACCUGAAGACUAGCAGAACAGGUCUUCCACAACUAAAGACAUAAAGAAAGAGCCACAUCAUGACAGGGGUGAUAAUACUGAUGUCACAAUAUGAAGAUUGUGAAGAUGUGACAAUAUGAAGACAUGAAGAUGUGAAGAUUAAGUGAGACAAUGGGUACAAGAUACCUGGUCUAUCGUAAGCAUUCUCAAGUGGUAGCCGGUUUCAUAUCUGAUGACCUUGGACACUACGCUCCUGUCAUGAAUUACUUGGCUGACACCUCUGAUUGUAUUGCUUGGGAAACAAUUAUCAAAAAGACAUCCCGUACAUGUCCCUGUCACCGCAUUUACAUUUACCGCGGUGUUUAUAUCUGCUGACUUCACUAAACUGUGAGCACCCGGAAGAAGUGAGUCACUAGGUCCAGCCCCCUACCAGUGGGAGGGGAUGAUACAGAAUGUGAAUAUCAGGAGGCAGGAGCCAUUUGAGAAGCUGCCUACCAUCACAGCAUGAGAAGAUGCUUUCAGGAAAAAAGCGACUAUUUGACCCAGCAGAGAGCAUUUUCCCGAUGUAGGGGUGAUGUGCAGCAAUUAGCUUGUUUUGGUCUGGGAUGACUGACAGCGAUUUCAUGGAUUGUUUUGUGAUAUUAGACAAAGGUUCUCGGGGCAAAAUGUGAUUAGAAUAUGUUCAACUUGAUGACAUGUAUGUUAAGCCUGUUGGCACGUAGCAGCCAAUUUCAUUGUAUGACCUACUGGCUAGAGACAUCGAGAGUAAGAGUCAAAUCAUUUGGAGAAGAGUUGUUUAGUGAGUUAGAAUGAAUGGAGUCUUUAGUGAGUGUCCGCAUCAAAUUCUGUCCCAGUUUGUUGCUUGUCAUGCCCUAUUCUCCAUCUGGGAUGCCCAAGGCACUCUUUUUCAGGACAUUUGACCUACAAGUCAUAUUUCAGAAACUACUGAUUUGGUGCUUGCUGAUGGAGUUUAGACUCUGAGGAGUCCGCCUGCUGGAUUACGUACAGACUAAUGACCCAUCAGAUGCUAAAGGCAAAAGCUUAAAGUGCACUUGUGAAUUAAACCACAGUAUUGUCAGAAAGGAAGAAUUUAUUAUGUCAUUAAAUUUAAUUCAAUAAGUUUUGCUUCUUUAGAUGCACUGCACUGAGGGAAAAGUAAGAAAUUAAUUUUAAACAAGUGUUAUUUUUCUUCUGCUUAUCCAGGUAAAGGAUAUUCAUGUGAAAGAGACAGAAUAUUUUAUCGAGAUUUUAAAAAAAGCCAUUACAACAAAUGAUAAAUUGUGAAAACUGGGCAUGACUGCCUAGCCAGGCAUGAACUUCUAAGAUCAGAGACUAUGUGCUUCAGUUAGUAAACACAGAGGAAAAUCAACCUUGCCUAAUUUAAUGACACCCUGGGUGAAGUUUUCGGGCUUUGCAUAAAAAUCACAGAGGCUCAUUGAUACAAAGAUGUCAGCAGUAAUUGUGGUUGAUGCUUACAGUUUAAUCUGAAAGUUAGGAUGGGCAGAAAAUGAAAAUCAAGAUGGAGAAUUUUUGCUUCAAAACUAGAAAUUAUUAUGAUAUGAAGAAAAUUCUCAUAGGUUAAAUAUUAUAAUAAAACAUAGAAGUGUGAAAUAUGUGGUAUUGAAUCUUUCUACAUACAUCUCAUGAUUGCUUUAGAGCAACAGAGAAAAUGUUGAUAAAUAGUAACUUAAAGGUAAGUAAGGAAAUUGCUGAGUGUUUGUACCUUUUGUCGUUUACCAAUCAAAACAAUAUGAUGAUCUUACAGGGGGUCUAGAAUGAAGUCCAGUGAUAAAUACAAAAAUUAGACUUUCCAUUGUAUUGAUAGUGCUCAUUCUAAUAAGUGAGAGACUUUUAGUAUUUGUAUUCUAGGUAAUAAAUUUUCUAUUAGUAACUAUUAUGUUAGCGGAAUAAAAGCAAGAGUGCAAAUCCUCAAAGAACAGAUU